rnacentral:rRNA from 1 species
UACGUAGGGUGCGAGCGUUGUCCGGAAUUAUUGGGCGUAAAGGGCUCGUAGGCGGUUUGUCGCGUCGGGAGUGAAAACACCGGGCUUAACUCGGUGCUUGCUUUCGAUACGGGCAGACUAGAGGCAUGCAGGGGAGAACGGAAUUCCUGGUGUAGCGGUGAAAUGCGCAGAUAUCAGGAGGAACACCGGUGGCGAAGGCGGGUCUCUGGGCCGAUACUGACGCUGAGGAGCGAAAGUGUGGGGGAGCGAACAGG